rnacentral:misc_RNA from 1 species
CAGCGUAGUGCGACUGAUCAUCUAGUAUGUUUAUAUUGGCCCAUAUUCUAAUAUUAAUUUCUAUGUACUAAUUUGUUUACUAAUCAAAUUUAACUCACAAUUUAAAAGAUUUGAGGAUGAAAUAACAAUGAGUAAUUAAACGUUAUCAUUAAUGGGGCCAUUAUUUUAAAUGUCAUAAUUUAAUGGACCAAUUAAUUGGACUCAUUAACAUCCCAAUUAGAUCUUAUUGAAACAGAAUUUAAAAGAAUGUGGCCAUUAUUCUAGUUGAUGGUCAUAAAUUAAUUAAGUUUAUUUUUUUUAAAUACACGUGGGUUAAAUGGAUAUAUAAUGAUGGAAUAGUGGCCCAAUUAAAAAUGAGCCUAAAUAAUAAUUUGUUAUUAAUUGUGUAACACCCCCAAAAAGAUCUAAUAUGCUGUACAUAUUAAUAAAAUUUCUAUGAAUUUAUUCUAUUAAGAAAUCCAUAUUUGGAGUAAGUUUAAAAUCAUUUAUCUGUUAUUGUAACACUAAGGAUUUGAUCCUGAGUGUUUUAUUAUGUAAUAAAACAAACAAAUACUGAAGAAUGAAAAUGAGUUUUGAGGGUGUAUAAAAUAGAGGAAUGGAUAAACAAGGAUGAAAGGAGAUAUUAUGUUAUAGUAAGGAUGGAGUAAAUUGAAAUUUCGCCAAAGCCAUUAGAUUUAUGUCACUUGGCAAACUUUAGUCCAAGUUCCAAAAAAAGAAAGAAAAAGAAAAUUCCUUUGGUAAUUAAAAAGCUCAAAUUAGCAUUAAGAAAUUAGAAAAUGCAAAAACAUACCAUGGUGAAAAGGAAUCUCAGCU